rnacentral:snRNA from 1 species
UACUUACUCCGUGAAUCGGAGG